rnacentral:lncRNA from 1 species
AUGGCGACAGACGGCAUUCUAGAGCUUUCCGGAGCUCAUUAUGCAGCCCCUCCUGCCUGCCACCGCGGAGCCCUCGCCCCAGAUGGGAGCUGGGCUCAGGGUCCUGCUGGACGGGCACAUGGACCGAGGUCCGCGGAAGCCGCCUGCCUCCACUUGCAUCCUGCCUGUGACUCUGGUCACCCAGACGCUGUUCACUCAGGCUCUGCAGCAGGCGCUGGGCUGAAUACUCUGCCGUGUGAACGAGGGGGUUUCGCAUCCCAGGGGCUGCUUGAGGGGCAACAGCCUCACAGAAGGGCCACACACAGAGUGCCGGGAGGCAGGACGGGAAGGCCCUGCCUGGAGUCAGGCACACGAGGGCCACAGUGGCGGCAUGAUUUUGCCCACCUGAGACUCAAGGACUGGGAGUUGCCGGCCCAUGUACACACACGUCUGGACACCUGUCCCCCCUCCUCCACCCACGCUGCGGGGAACUGCACGGCUCCAUCGGGCGGGGACCUUAGCUUUCCGCCUCGACAUACCUGGGGCCUGGCAUGCUGCGUUGAAGCGGCUGGAGCUAUCCAACUGCUGAAACUGCUGCAGGUGCCACAGCAGCCGGCUCCCGGAAAGCGUCCUCCUGCUUCUGAGACCGUAGCGCAGGACGGUGCGAGUGCACCUCCUCAAGGCCUGACGCCGCUAAUCCACUUCCUCUCUUCCUCUCCCCACGAUGGGGACACACUUGGCGACAGUUCCAACUGGGGUAAGAGAGCCACCAAAAGGUCGCUGGCAUGGGCACUCCAGGGACACCAAAGUGGAGUCUGGCAUACCCUGCAAACACCUCGGCUUGUGCGGGGAGCAUUCCUCCUUGAAAUGCUCAUCCACUUCUGGUUACAGCAAUCUUUGAGGGCAGGGAAGGUGGCCAGCAGAAGGCACUGUGGAGCAAGCACGUGGGCCUCGGAAUCCAAGCCUGGGUUCAAAUCCGGGCUGUGGGACGUCCUCACCAAGUCUCGAAUUCCUCCUGUAAAUGAGGGAUGCUGGCGCCUCUCUCGCGUGGGGAAAUAG